CUUCAGUUUGUCCAUCACACCAUGGAGCCUUACCCGAGGCUCAACACCAACAGGAGUAAUUCACAGAGCAUGCAAUAUUUGCAUGGUCCUUACCCACUUUGGUUGGUCCUUACCCACCAGACAAAGGGUAAAUAAGACUUUCAGAGCUGCUUCUUGAUUUAAUGAAAGAUAAAUAAUAAAGACUCCUAUGCUUUCAAAUUUUCAUUUCUCCUAAUUAUGAGUUGCCCACAAUAUUACUGAAGAUGACUCUUCCAGGACAGUUACACUAGAUUUGUAGUAUCCUCCAUCACAAGUGAAAACCUAGAAACUGCUUUCAGAAAUGGUUGAUUAGCAAUCAAAAAAAACACCCUCUGGUCAGCUGUUGGCUAUAACUCACAGAAGGUGGGGCUCAGGCAGCUAUAAAGCCUGCUAUAUGGCAGAGGGAGCUUCUUCUGCAGGCUGGUAGAGAUGGGUGUUGGUUCUUCUCAACAGGAACAUAUUUUCCUGGGGUUCCUGCUGUGCUCCUGAUGCCCACAUUACCUGGGUGGUGAACAUACCAGAGGAAAAGGCACUGCAGAUGCUCUCAGGAAACAGAGUAAUCCAAAGCAGCAAUGAUUCCAGCUGAGGCACCCCUCGUAACCAUCAGCCAGGAACAGAAGCCGUCAUCUCUUCCCAGAGUACCUGGGGUAUCAAAGCUGUGCCACUCCGGGUGCGUGCUCCUUGCUGAAGGACCUGUGAAACUGUGCUCAAGGAGGAGCUGGGCUGGUGGUGAGUGGGUUGAGAGGAAGAUCAGGCUGACUGUCUACCAAGCUUUCAAGCCAAGAAAUCACUGUCAUCUGAUGCCCGUAAAUACCAGAUUUCUGGACACACUUAGUCUCCAAGUAAUAACCUGAAUUAAGUUCAAAACUUCCUUGGAAAUCCAAUUCAGGCAAUUUUUACUCAGAGCAACAUUGCAAAGGCUACGUCAGCUGACCUGAAAAAUCUCUCUUCCACAAUGAUUAAACGCAUCCCAGAUUGCAUAUAUUUAGCUUUUGCUGCAAGAGACAAAGCGUCUUGUUCAGAACAAGUGCAAAUCAUGUAUGGAAGGCACUCCAGCACAAAGUGAGGGUCAUCUCACUUCUACAGUACAAAGGAGAAGAAUAUUACGAAAUUUAGAGAUAUUCAAUUACUACUGGUGGAAGGCCAUGGAAGUUCAUAGAGAGCUCAGGAGGGCAAUAUGGUAUAGAAUAAGAAAUUAAGUUAGGUAUCAGCUGCAUAGAAAUGAAAAUGAACUGGACAUUCAUGUUACAGAAGAACAAAAUUACUAAUGUGAUGACCAGACAAAGAGAUCAAGAGUAAAGAGGGCAACUACCGGAAAAUUAUUUCCAGCAAUCACUGGACAAGAUGGUACUGGAGCCAUCUCAUGAUAGGAGGAUAAAGACAGGGUUUUGUUAAUCUCUCAGAGAAGAAUAUUUAGAAGACACGAUGGGCCAAUGUCAAAUUUGGUGUAAUUUUGCUGAAAUCACUUGAGAAACUCAGGAGAUGUAUGUAGUCCUGUGAGUCCAUGGUUACACGGAGGCUGAAAUCCUUUGCAAGGAUUUCUGGAGACAGGGUACAGACCUUUAUCAACUGUCACAGCCAUUCACCCUGAGCAGUGAUUAACGAUAUUGAGUUUUACAGAUAAUUUGUCUAGCAUCUUGCCAUAGUGUUGUGAUAUCAGCAAAAGUCAUUCCUUCUGUAAGGUUACAGAAAAAGUUUAGAGCUCCUUCCUAUGGAUAACACAGCCUCUUUGCCACUAACUCCCUAACUCCAGAGGAGCUAUUAUCCAGUUAUUAUCCUUACUGCAAGUUUAACUGGGCCUAAACAAUUGAACAUCCUGCUUUCCUUGUUCCCUGGCAGAACACAGUUUUAGAUCCCAGCCGUUCCCUUUCUCCUUUAUUCCUUGCAACAAAGUGAGAGUCCCAUAUCACAUAUUUUUUACACUGGAUGUUUUAGUCUUUCCUGCUUCCCUGAGGACUGAUAGAUCUUUGCAAGUGAGAUACAACAAAUGAAAUGUAAAAGUCCCUCGUGCUUUCUAAUGUAAGCUGCAGUGCAAAGAGACAGACUGAGCCUCUUCUACAUGUCCUUAAAAGAGAAGAAAAGUUGCUAUCUGGAUAGUCUUGAGUGACUAGGACUUGAGGCCGAAGAAUUACAUGAAUCUUUUUAUUAUUAUUAUUUUUUUUUCAUACAAAAAUUUUGGAGAGUGGCAUGUACAGCAAAAUAAAAGCUAAUGAGUAUUCUUCA
rnacentral:lncRNA from 1 species